GGCAUAUGUCAAAUUUAGAAAGGAAAAAGAAAAACUCAUUGGCGGCGAUGCGACUGCCGCCUCCCAGCAGGGUGUAGAUCCACGUCCUCCUGCCAGCGAGCCACAGCCACGCGCAGAGACGUGUCGUGCUGGCGCCAGCUUCGGCCAUUGGAGGAUGUGCGCGGCCCGGAUCCAGGCUGCUAGAUAAUAAAGAUAAGAAGACCUUUGUCCUAAAUUAAACUUGUUAAACUUUGUCCUAGCACCAUAUACUAUUCUAAAAUAGUUUAAUUAAAUAAUCAUGAUAUAUAUUUGAAUCGUAUACUUAUUUGAUAUUUCAGAUAUUUGAUACACUUGUCUUAAAAAAAAUUUGACGGGAACAUUUCUAUAAAUUUGGUCGAAGUAAGAAAAAAAGUUCAACUCAAGACAAAGCUGGAACAUUUUAAGCUUAGGAGCGGAGGUAGAGGCAGUAAAUUUCAAAAAAAAUAGAAACAGAGGUAAUAGCGAGUACCAAAAAGAAGAGAAAAGAAAGCUCUGUUCUUAUUUAUUUUUUAGAAAAGAAAAGCUCUGUUCUCGG
rnacentral:lncRNA from 1 species